AGGCAGAGUUCUGCACUGUUGCCCGUGCUGGAGUACAGUGGCACAAUCUUGGCUCACUACAACCUCCACCUCCUAGGUUCAAGUGAUUCUCCUGCCUCAGCCUCCCAAGUAGCUGGGAUUACAAGUUCCUGUGACCAUGCCCAGAUAAUUUUUUGUAUUUUUAGUAGAGACGGGGUGUCACCAUGUUGGCCAGGCUGGUCUCAAACUCCUGGCCUUGUGAUUCACCUGCCUCGGCCUCCCAAAGUGCUGGAAUUACAGGUGUGAGCCACCGCGCCUGGCCUCAAUCAUGCUUCUGACCCCCAAGCUGUCUUCCCAAACUAAACUGCCUUUGUAAAAAUCUAAUGAAAGGCCACAACAUUAGGAUUAUGAUAAGGGCCUGAAUUCUGCUAAAAUGGGAAUAGUUUCUAUAAUCCUUUACUGCCCAGGGGUCAUGUGACCAGAGGUCACAAGAUUUGUGACUAUUCCAAUUGUUCCUAUAGAUAACUUUGCUGUUAUAGUACCUAAGAUUGUUUUUUUGAAAUAUCUUUCAGACUGAUGCCACCCGAACUUGUGACCUGUAACUCAGCUGAUCCUGUGGCUCCACCCAGAGGUGGACUAAGCUCACAGGGAACAUUUUCCAUACCAUUAUGAUUUCAUCCCCAACAAUCAGGAGCACCCCUUCCCUUGCCCCAUGCCCACCAAGUUGUCCGUAAAAACCAUAACCUCCAAGCCUUCAGGGAAACUGAUCUGAGUGGUAACUCCAGUUCUUCUGUGAGGGCUGGUCUCACAGCAGUUAAACUCUCUCUCAUGCAAUGCUGUGGUCUCAGUGGAUUGAUUUUGUCUGUGCAGCAGGCAGGAAGAAUCCAUCUGGUGAUUACAAAAUGCAUAGAAUAUUUUAGAAGAACAUGUAUAAGUACAAGAUUCUGCACCAUGAUGUAGUGUUGGAAACUAAACUUAAGUUUCAGAUAGAAAGGGAUUGUUUUAUCACUGUAUAUCUGGCAAAUGAUAUAGCACCUUGUAUAUGAUACAACCUACCCUUCUCCCCUUUCAAUCUCUCUCUCUCGGGGGGCGUGUGUGUGUGUGUGUGUAUGUGUGUGUGUGUGUACAUGUAUGUCUAUAUGGUGCAUAAUAUAUAUUAAAUAGUACAGUAUAUUAAAUUCAUAGUAUAGUGCUUGCUGUGUAGUAGCUAUCUACAAAGGUAGUAGUGUCUGCCAUUGAUAUAAUUCUAAAUGCUCUCCUUUGUCACAUUCAGUCCUUGACACAGUUCUCUCUCAUGUACUCAAUACCAAUAUCUGACGAGGUUUUUUAAAAUUUUUAAAUUUUUAAACAAGGUCUUUCUGUGUUGUUCAGACUAGAAUGCAGUGGCAUGAUUAUAGCUCCCUGCAGCCUUGAACUCCUGGGCUCAAGUCAUCCUCCCGCCUUAGCCUCUGAAGUAGCUGGGAUUAUAGAUGCACACAACCAUGCCUGCCUAAUUUAAAAAAAAUUUUUUUAUAGACUAUGUAGCCCAGAUUGGUCUCAUACUCCUGGCCUCCAGCAGUUCUCCAUUCUUGGCCUCCCAAAGAGCUGGGAUUACUGGCACAAGCCACUGCACCCAUCCCAAGUUUUUUUGGUAAUUCAUUCUACACAUUUCUUAUUUCUAUUAUCUUCCUUUUAUCUCUCCUUCUUCUUGUGUGGUGUACUAACCUAUUGUGAAUCUUUUGAUGCUUUCUGUUUUCAUAGACAUUUUCUGCUAAGGAUAUUUCAAAAUUCUGAGGAUUAUUCAAGAAAAAUACAGUAUUGCCUAGUUUUCUUCUGAUUGAACUUUCAUUUUUAACCACUUUGCAGUUAUUAUUGAGUAAUUAAUUUAGCAUGGGACCCAUAAAAGAGAUAAUGUAUCCAACCUUGAUACUCCUGAGGAUACAAUGAAAAAUAAAAUGAUUCCCCAUCUUAGGGAAUAUAUUAGUCUGUUAGGGCUGUCGUAACAAAAUACUAUACACUGGGUAGUUUACACAACAGUUUAUUUUCUCUCAGUUCUGGACACUGGAAUUCCAUGAUCAAGGUUCUGGUAUGGUUGGUGUCUUGUGAAGGAUCUCCCCUUGGGCAGAUGGCUGCCUUCUCGCUGUCUACUCAUAUGACUUCUUUAUGCAUGUGUGAAGAGAGAUACAGCUUGCUUGUGAACCUUCUUAUAAGGACAUUGAUUUUAACAGAUCGAUGACCCACCUUUCUGACCUCAUUUAACCUUAAUGACUUCCUUAGAGGUUUUAUCUCCAAAUGUAGCCACAGUGUAAGUUAGGUUUUCAUUUUUUUUUUUAAAUUAUACUUUAAGUUUUAGGGUACAUGAGCAAAACGUGCACGUUUGUUACAUAUGUAUACAUGUGGCAUGUUGGUGUGCUGCACCCAUCAACUCGUCAUUUAACAUUAGGUAUAUCUCCUAAUGCUAUCCCUCCCCGCUCCCCCCACCCCACAACAGGCCCCGGUGUGUGAUGUUCCCCUUCCUGUGUCCAUGUGUUCUCAUUGUUCAAUUCCCACCUAUGAGUGAGAACAUGCGGUGUUUGGUUUUUUGUCCUUGUGAUAGUUUGCUGAGAGUGAUGGUUUCCAGCUCCAUCCAUGUCCCUAGAAAGGACAUGAACUCAUCAUUUUUUAUGGCUGCAUAGUAUUCCCUGGUGUAUGUGUGCCACAUUGUCUUAAUCCAGUCUAUCAUUGUCGGACAUAUGGGUUGGUUCCAAGUCUUUGCUAUUGUGAAUAGUGCCACAAUAAACAUAUGUGUGCAUGUGUCUUCAUAGCAGCAUGAUUUAUAAUCCUUUGGGUAUAUACCCAGUAAUGGGAUGGCUGGGUCAAAUGGUAUUUCUAGUUCUAGAUCCCUGAGGAAUCGCCACACUGACUUCCACAAAGGAUGAACUAGUUUACCGUCCCACCAACAGUGUAGAAGUGUUCCUAUUUCUGCACAUCCUCUCCAGCACCUAUUGUUUCCUGACUUUUUAAUGAUUGCCAUUCUAACUGGCGUGAGAUGAUAUCUCAUUGUGGUUUUGAUUUGCAUUUCUCUGAUGGCCAGUGAUGAUGAGCAUGUUUUCAUGUGUCUUUUGACUGCAUAAAUGUCUUCUUUUGAGAAGUAUCUGUUAAUAUCCUUUGCCCACUUUUUGGUGGGGUUGUGUUUUUUUCUUGUAAAUUUGUUUGAGUUCAUUGUAGAUUCUGGAUAUUAGCCCUUUGUCAGAUGAGCAGGUUGCAAAAUUUUUCUCCCAUUCUGUAGGUUGCCUGUUCACUCUGAUGGUAUUUUCUUUUGCCGUGCACAAGUUCUUUAGUUUAAUUAGAUCCCAUUUGUCAAAUUUGGCUUUUGUUGCCAUUACUUUAUUCAGUCCAUAAUAGGGAGUUCACUACAUGCUAGAUUGACAUCUCCCUUUGUCAGUUUCCGUCUCCUUUUUUGCUGCUGCAUGUGGCUUGGGGAAGUGAAGAUAGUAGAGAUAAUAAAGAUAAAGAUCAAGGAGUAUUCCCCAUGCCUAAGUAAACACAUUAAAACUGUUAAAAAAAUGAAUGAGUACUUCCCAUCACUGGCCUCUUCAGUCACAGGUACUCAAGGACUUCUCUCACUCUCAGUAUUGCUACAGUAUAUACUCCACUCAUGGCAGCAUAGUCAGACUCAAAUAUGGUAGAGAUCAGCCAGGAAACUGCAUAACUGUUUUUUGCCCAAAUGUCAGUUUUCUUGUGUUCUCUUUCCUUGUAAAAAUAAGUUUUGUCACAAUUGUCAAUACACCUGAAAGAAGAGAAAUAUCUAUUUUCUCCCUCAACUGUAUUCUUUUCUCUCUUCUAUUAACUUUGGCAAGCAUCCUGACACAUUCAAAUGGAGUAUAUAAUAAACUUAAGGCUGAAAAAGGAAACCAAGAGAGGAAAAGUGAUGAGAAGAGUGUUUUACAAUAAGUAGGAAGAAAUGAUGUUAAUAUAUAUGUACUCUACAGCCUGUUUAUCUUGAUAUGCUGGAUUCCCUGGUGUGUAUAACUUCCGUAGGAAUCCAAGUCCAGUUAAAAUGAUUGCUGUUUCUGUAUGAAUGGUAAAGUUUAAGAAUAGAAGCUUUUAAAUGAAAACAUAUAUUUGCAGUGGUUCUUUGAGAAAUUACUCUUCAUUUUCUAAUGAAGGCCAAUAAAUGAGCACCACCACAAAUCAAACCAACAAAUAAGCCAAAAGGCAAAACAAAUGAAAAUACAAAACCUCAACCCUCAUCCCAAAUAAAACCUAACCAACAGCAUCAUCGACAAACAUAAACCUCACAAAUAUACAUAAAUUACAAGAUGUCUAACCUUGGUCUUAGUUUUUCAAAGCAGGAACUUGCUCUACAAAGAUCAAGAUACUAGAGCUUCUCUUCAGGAUCCUUCAAUGGAGAACAACUGUGAAGAAAUUGGACUAAAGACAAGGCAAAUUGAUUAAAAUAUUGAAAAGUGAGGGGUGAUCAUGGGAGAGGCCAAGAUGGCUAUUAGUAGCUAGUGUGCACCUCUCUCACAGAGAGAAGAAAGUGGUGAUUAACUACUGUAUCUUCAACUGGAACAUCUAGAUGGAAACAUUAGGGUUCAUCAAGGAAACAACUUGACCCAUGGAGAAUGGAGCAAAGUGAGACAGGACAACUGCCCACCCAGGAGUGGCAUGGAGCCAGAGUAGGCUCCCACACUGCCAGGAAAUUGUGAGUGAGUGAGAGUCCCCAGGGACCCACAGUUCUGCCAUGGACCUUUGCAACCCUGGGCUCAGGUGAUCCAUGCAUAAGCCUACCCCACCAGAGCUUCCAGACUGACAAUGAGAGCUGUGUGGAGUCUGGGCAGAGCUGCUGCCCAGGCACACAUGGAAUCCUGGGAGCCAUGAAUUCCUAGGUAUCCCAGCAUUAGUGACUGGAGCUCCAGCAGUAGGAGAGGUCGGGCUCCCUUCAUUCCCCCAGGAAAGUGGCUGAAUCCAGAGGGCUGAGCAGCAGUGGACUCCAGGCUUCACCUCCACUGCAUUUCACAGGAUGAGGCCCAGUGGUCUGGGUCUCCAGCCACCCCCUGUCUGUGCUCUUGGGCUGGUAGCAGCUCUGCACUUCCCUGGGAUGGAGCUCCCAGAAAGAGAGGCUGGUUACCUUUGUCGUCUGUCAGCCCCUGCCAAUAUAGCCUUCAGGCUCUGCAGAGUACUUAAUGUUUAGGGAGUGGUACAGAUCUCCUGUACAGCACAGCCAUCCCAUGGAAAAGUGGCCAGAGUGUUCUACACAUGAGUCCUGGACCUUACUUGUUUCUUACUAGGCAGGGCCUCUCAGCCUGGAAUUCCAGCACAGCUAACUUGCUUCAACCUGAACAUUUCAGUUGCAGGUGGUUCAGCAUUACUCUGAGGAGGAAAUCCCAGAGACAGCCCACAACCCCUCUGGAAUUGCAGCUGCAGUGGUAUCACCCUAACCACUCUUGGUGUGAAAGCAACAAAGGGCCAGUCACUACAUGGGCAUCUCCAGCACACUACAGCCACUAUAUGGAAAGGAGUGAUCUGUCUUCCCUGGGAGCUCCCACCCCUUACUCUUUACCAGGCAGGGCCCCGGCUUUGCACCACAUAAUAGCCACCCAUCCACAGCUAAGCAUACCCACGGAAUGUCUCUGAGUUUCCCUGGGGUGGGGCUCCCUGAGACAACUGGCAGACCCUCUGCCACUGCCACAGCAAUGGUUCUGCCCCUGCUACCCUUGGUCUGGGGAAGAAACCAAGAGCCUGAGGGCUUCACCUGAGCUUCCAAUACACCACAGUCACCAUAUGGAGAGAAGCCUGGUCGCUCAUCCCUGUGAGCACUCGAACCCCCACUCCUCAACAAGCAGAGCCAGUAGAACAACUGUCUCACCUCCUGGCUGAAUUUUCCCAGUAGCAGUGGCUCUACAUUUUUCUGAGGUAGAGCUCCUGAAGUCAACCAAAAGGCCCUCUGCUACUGCCACUGCAGUGGUAGUGACCUUGCUGUCCUUGAAUUGGAGAAGCAGCGAAGACCCUGAGUGCUUUAACCACACCUCCAGCAAGCUGCUCUUGCACUAGGGAGAAGAGGCCAGUCUGUCUCCCUGUUACCUGUCCCUGACACCCUCUCAUCACCAGGCGGGCCUUCCUAGCUUGAGCCCAAAGCACAGGUGCCCCAUCCAGGGCCAAUUGCACUGAUUAAUAAUGGGUCCACAUCUCUCUGGGUUGGAACCCCAAGAGGCAAGUGAAAGGCUCUCUGCCAUAACCACUGCUAAGAUCCCUUCCCCUUCUGCCCAAGAGUCCCAAGCCAAGAUUUGCAGUCAGCACUCAAGUGGGAGAGGAACCCAUACUUUCAAAGCACUGAGAAGAAGCAUGGCUGCAAUCAUGAGGAAAUAAAGAGGAGCCACACUGUUGAUUAAGUGGCUGCCUACAGGCCACUAUGUGUAAGUGCCACCUACUGGAUCACAGCCCAAAAUUCAAUACCAAAAAUACUUUACUAAUAUUUGAAACCAAGAAAAAGAAUUCAACUACAAAUAAGACCUUGCACAAAGCCUCAGCCCUCUGAAAACACCCAGAAAAGAAGUGUACUAACUGUACUGAAACUACACGUCAGUUAUCAGAACACAAGCCAACACAGAUGAAAAAGAACCAGUGCGAGAACUCUGGCAACUCAAAAAGCCAGUGUCUCCAAAUGACCUCACUAGUUCCCCAGCAGGUAUUCUUAACCAGACUGAAAUGGCUGAAAUGACAGAAAUAGAAUUCAGAAUAUGGAUAGGAAUGAAGAUCAUUGAGGUUGAAAACAAUGUCAAAGUCCAGUGCAAGAAAGCUAAGGAUCAUUAAAAAAAUACAGAGGCUGAUAGAUAAAAAUGGCCAUUAUAAGGAAUAACCAAACAGAUUUGAUAGAGCUGAAAAACAUACUGCAAGAAUUUUAUAAUGCAAUCACAAGUGUUAACAGGAGAAUAGGCCAAUCUGAGGAAAAAAUGUCAAAGCUUAGAGACUGUCUUGUUGAAAUAAUUGUCAGACAAAAAUGAAGAAGAAAGAAUAUAAAAGAAUGAACAAAACCUCCAAGAAAUAUGGGAUUAUGUAAAGAAACCAAAUCUAUGACUCACUGUUGUCCCUGAAAGAGAUGGAGAGAAAGCAAGCAACUUGGAAAACAUAUUUUAGAAUAUCACCUGUGAAAGCUUCCCCAACCUCACUAAAGAUGUCAACAUUCAAAUUCAGGAAAUGCAGAGAACUUCAGCAAGAUACUAAAUAAGGGGACCAUCCCCGAGACACAUAAUCAUCAGAUUCUUCAACAUUGAAAUGAAAGAAAAAAUGUUAAAGGCAGCUAGAGAGAAGGGACGUUCAUCUAGAAAGGAAAUCCCAUCAGGUCAACAGUGGACCUUUCAGCAGAAACCCUACAAGCCAGAGGAGAAUAAGGGCCUAUAUUAAGCAUUCUUAAGGAAAAUAAUUUUCAACUCAGAAUUUUAUAUCCAGACAAACUAAACUUCAUAAAUGAGAAAUAAAAUCCCUUUCAGACAAGCAAAUGAGGGAAUUCAUUACCACCAGACUUGCUGCUUUACAAUAGGUCCUGAAAGGAGUGCUAAAUAUGGAAAAGAAAGACCAUUACCAGCCACUACAAAAACAUGCUUAAGCAUAUAGACAAGUGACACUAUAAAGCAACAACACAAGCAAGUCUGCAUAAUAACCAGCUAACGAUAUGAUGACAGGAUCAAAUUGGCAUAUAUCAAUAUUAGCCUUGAAUAUGAAUGGGCUAAAUUCCCCCAGUUAAAAGGCACAGAGUGGCAAGCUGGAUAAAGAAGCAAGACCUAAUGGUAUGCUGUCUUCAGGAGACCCAUCUCACAUGCAGCAACAUUCAUAGGCC
rnacentral:lncRNA from 1 species